rnacentral:tRNA from 1 species
UAUAGUUUAACAAAAA